UACGUAGGGGGCAAGCGUUGUCCGGAAUCAUUGGGCGUAAAGAGCGUGUAGGCGGCCAAGCAGGUCCGUUGUGAAAACUGGAGGCUUAACCUCCAGACGUCGACGGAAACCGCGCGGCCAGAGUCCGGAAGAGGAGAGUGGAAUUCCUGGUGUAGCGGUGAAAUGCGCAGAUAUCAGGAAGAACACCAAUGGCGAAGGCAGCUCUCUGGGACGGUACUGACGCUGAGACGCGAAAGCGUGGGGAGCGAACAGG
rnacentral:rRNA from 1 species